UAAGAGUAAGAUACUAUCUGUCUUGUAGAAUGUGCAUCGCCUCUAGCAACAUGGACAUGACUAUAUGUGAAAAUUAACAAAAAAAAAAAAAUCAAUUGACACAUUAAAGAUCGAGAUAGAAAAUUUUAUUAGAAAAAAAAUGAAAAAAAUGGUGCUAGCUAGUAAGUGAAGCAAAUUAAACCAGAAGGUCAAGAAACUUGGAGGACGGCA
rnacentral:lncRNA from 1 species